GCAUAUUCGAUGCUCCUUGCUGCUUAUUUCUGGAGUUGAGGUGGCCUCGUGCUUUUAUAGGACAGCAAUUGACACAUUUGCCCUGGCAGCUGAGACAGCCCAUGAGGAAAGAAGCUUUGGGGUCCACCUGUGCUAUUUAGAAACAGUUACACAAGACAGAGAAUGCUGAUUCACUAUGCAGUGAAACAUGCCUAACGUGUCAACAGCUAAAUGCCCGGUGACAGUGUGGUUGUCUGGGCAACAGAAGAAGUCACCCACGCAAACACUUAAAGGACCUUAUUUAUUUUACAAGAGGAAUAGUUUUCAAUGGAAUGGGUAUUAAACACACACCUGGAUCCCUUUACCACAGGUGCUUUGAGAGGCACCAUCAAGGACAGUGAGCUAACGCAGGUAACUCAGGUAACUCAGGUAACAGGGCAGUGAGCUAAUGCAGGUAACACAGGUGACAGAGUCAUGGGCUAAUACAGGUAACACAGGGUAGUGAGUUAACUCAGGUAAUAUAGCUAAGCCAGGUAACCCAGCUUACACAGCCAACACCUGGCAGUGGGCUAACACAGUUAACU
rnacentral:lncRNA from 1 species